rnacentral:rRNA from 1 species
AUUGAACGCUGGCGGCAGGCCUAACACAUGCAAGUCGAGCGAGCGGCGGGGGGGUGAGUAGUGCCUGGGACUCGCCCAGUCGAGGGGGAUAACAGUGGGACACGACUGCUAAUCGCGCAUAAGCGUGGAUUCCACAGGUGGGAUUAGCUAGUUGGUGAGGAAAGGGCUCACCAAGGCGACGAUCCCUAGCUGGUCUGAGAGGAUGAUCAGCCACACUGGAACUGAGACACGGUCCAGACUCCUACGGGAGGCAGCAGUGGGGAAUAUUGCACAAUGGGGGAAACCCUGAUGCAGCCAUGCCGCGUGUGUGAAGAAGGCCUUCGGGUUGUAAAGCACUUUCAGCGGGGAGGCGUUACUCGCAGAAGAAGCACCGGCUAACUCCGUGCCAGCAGCCGCGGUAAUAC